CGUGUAGGCGGCUUGGUAAGUCAGAUGUGAAAGCCCAGGGCUCAACCCUGGAAGUGCAUUUGAUACUGCUAUGCUUGAGUAUGGGAGAGGAGAGCGGAAUUCCCAGUGUAGAGGUGAAAUUCGUAGAUAUUGGGAGGAACACCCGUGGCGAAGGCGGCUCUCUGGACCAAUACUGACGCUGAGACGCGAAAGCGUGGGGAGCAAACAGGAUUAGAUACCCUGGUAGUCC
rnacentral:rRNA from 1 species